UUGUUAAUAUCCCAUUGGCCAGUGCA
rnacentral:piRNA from 1 species